rnacentral:rRNA from 1 species
AUCAAGGGCCACACCACCCUGAAUCCACCGGAGACUGUCUGAUCUUGGAAGCUAAGCAGAGUCUGGCCUCGUUAGUACUUGAAUGGGAGAAGAGGAAUAACUAACGCUUCUCACA